rnacentral:tRNA from 1 species
GCCUGGGUGGCUCAGUCGGUUGAGCGUCCGACUUCAGCUCAGGUCACGAUCUCGUAGUCCGUGAGUUCGAGCCCCGCAUCGGGCU